GAUGAACGCUAGCUACAGGCUUAACACAUGCAAGUCGAGGGGCAGCAUGAACUUAGCUUGCUAAGUUUGAUGGCGACCGGCGCACGGGUGAGUAACACGUAUCCAACCUGCCGAUGACUCGGGGAUAGCCUUUCGAAAGAAAGAUUAAUACCCGAUGGCAUAGUUCUUCCGCAUGGUAGAACUAUUAAAGAAUUUCGGUCAUCGAUGGGGAUGCGUUCCAUUAGGUUGUUGGCGGGGUAACGGCCCACCAAGCCUUCGAUGGAUAGGGGUUCUGAGAGGAAGGUCCCCCACAUUGGAACUGAGACACGGUCCAAACUCCUACGGGAGGCAGCAGUGAGGAAUAUUGGUCAAUGGACGAGAGUCUGAACCAGCCAAGUAGCGUGAAGGAUGACUGCCCUAUGGGUUAUAAACUUCUUUUAUACGGGAAUAAAGUGAGGCACGUGUGCCUUUUUGUAUGUACCGUAUGAAUAAGGAUCGGCUAACUCCGUG
rnacentral:rRNA from 1 species